rnacentral:tRNA from 1 species
GGGGUUGUGGCUUAGUGGUAGAGCACUUGCCUAGCAUGCAUGAGGCAUUGAGUUUGAUUCCCCAGCACCA